UGGUUUUCCAGGCAAAUCCGGAAAAUCAAGGCUGAGGCGUGAUGACGAGGCACUACGGUGCUGAAGCAACAAAUGCCCUGCUUCCAGGAAAAGCCUCUAAGCAUCAGGUAACAUCAAAUCGUACCCCAAACCGACACAGGUGGUCAGGUAGAGAAUACCAAGGCGCUUGAGAGAACUCGGGUGAAGGAACUAGGCAAAAUGGUGCCGUAACUUCGGGAGAAGG
rnacentral:rRNA from 1 species